ACGCUGUUCCGCUCUGGCUUGGGAAGGGCUCCGGGUGGUUAGUUAGGAAGUUGCCCGUGGCUAGAGGGAGAGGCUCAGGUGGAAACCCUGAAGUCACACGAUGCACAGAUGGCCCCCAGAGGCUGCUGGACUCCGGGGUCCUCUAGUCG